rnacentral:rRNA from 1 species
AGUGGCGGACGGGUGAGUAACGCGUGGAUAACCUGGCCCAUACAGGGGGAUAGCAGUUGGAAACGACUGAUAAUACCGCAUAAGCGCACGGUACCGCAUGGUACAGUGUGAAAAACUCCGGUGGUAUGGGAUGGAUCCGCGUCUGAUUAGGCAGUUGGCGGGGUAACGGCCCACCAAACCGACGAUCAGUAGCCGGCCUGAGAGGGUGAACGGCCACAUUGGGACUGAGACACGGCCCAAACUCCUACGGGAGGCAGCAGUGGGGAAUAUUGCACAAUGGGGGAAACCCUGAUGCAGCGACGCCGCGUGAGCGAAGAAGUAUCUCGGUAUGUAAAGCUCUAUCAGCAGGGAAGAAAAUGACGGUACCUGACUAAGAAGCCCCGGCUAACUACGUGCCAGCAGCCGCGGUAAUACGUAGGGGGCAAGCGUUAUCCGGAUUCAUUGGGCGUAAAGCGCGCGUAGGCGGCCCGGCAGGCCGGGGGUCGAAGCGGGGGGCUCAACCCCCCGAAGCCCCCGGAACCUCCGCGGCUUGGGUCCGGUAGGGGAGGGUGGAACACCCGGUGUAGCGGUGGAAUGCGCAGAUAUCGGGUGGAACACCGGUGGCGAAGGCGGCCCUCUGGGCCGAGACCGACGCUGAGGCGCGAAAGCUGGGGGAGCGAACAGGAUUAGAUACCCUGGUAGUCCCAGCCGUAAACGAUGGACGCUAGGUGUGGGGGGGACGAUCCCCCCGUGCCGCAGCCAACGCAUUAAGCGUCCCGCCUGGGGAGUACGGCCGCAAGGCUAAAACUCAAAGGAAUUGACGGGGGCCCGCACAAGCAGCGGAGCAUGUGGCUUAAUUCGAAGCAACGCGAAGAACCUUACCAGGGCUUGACAUAUGGGUGAAGCGGGGGAGACCCCGUGGCCGAGAGGAGCCCAUACAGGUGGUGCAUGGCUGUCGUCAGCUCGUGUCGUGAGAUGUUGGGUUAAGUCCCGCAACGAGCGCAACCCCCGCCGCGUGUUGCCAUCGGGUGAUGCCGGGAACCCACGCGGGACCGCCGCCGUCAAGGCGGAGGAGGGCGGGGACGACGUCAAGUCAUCAUGCCCCUUAUGCCCUGGGCUGCACACGUGCUACAAUGGCCGGUACAGAGGGAUGCCACCCCGCGAGGGGGAGCGGAUCCCGGAAAGCCGGCCCCAGUUCGGAUUGGGGGCUGCAACCCGCCCCCAUGAAGUCGGAGUUGCUAGUAAUCGCGGAUCAGCAUGCCGCGGUGAAUGCGUUCCCGGGCCUUGUACACACCGCCCGUCA